rnacentral:rRNA from 1 species
GAUGAACACUGGCGGCGUGCUUAACACAUGCAAGUCGAGCGAGAAAAGUUCUUCGGAGCUUUUCUAGCGGCGGACGGGUGAGUAACACGUGGGCAACCUGCCUCAUAGAGGGGAACAGCCUUCCGAAAGGAAGAUUAAUACCGCAUAACAUUGUUGAAAGGCAUCUUUUAACAAUCAAAGGAGCAAUCCGCUAUGAGAUGGGCCUGCGGCGCAUUAGCUAGUUGGUGAGGUAACGGCUCACCAAGGCGACGAUGCGUAGCCGACCUGAGAGGGUGAGCGGCCACAUUGGAACUGAGACCCGGUCCAGACUCCUACGGGAGGCAGCAGUGGGGAAUAUUGCACAAUGGGGGAAACCCUGAUGCAGCAACGCCGCGUGAGUGAUGAAGGUCUUCGGAUUGUAAAGCUCUGUCUUUAGGGACGAUAAUGACGGUACCUAAGGAGGAAGCCACGGCUAACUACGUGCCAGCCGCCGCGGUAAAAC